GGUGUUAAUUGCUAUGAGGUUCCACCUGUUCCCAUUCCGAACACAGUAGUUAAGCUCAUAUACGUCGAAGAUACUUGGCUGGUGACGGCCCGGGAAAAUAGAUAAAUGCC
rnacentral:rRNA from 1 species